rnacentral:lncRNA from 1 species
UUGGGAGUGAAAUCAAGGGCAGAUGAGGAAUUCCCUACCCCCAUGACAGAAACCCACCCAUUGCCAAGGAAAGCUCAUUGCUCAGACUUCAAACACUCCAGCUUGUGCUUAAUUUGGAUACCACGGUUCUCCUGCUAGGAUGAAAAAGUGCCAGUCUUACUCCAGGCAGAAAAAAAUUGGGGGCUCAGCAGAGCUGCCAGGCCCCAUCUUUGCAGAGGAGCAAUGCCACCCUCGAGAGCAGCGAUGGCAGCCGGCUCGGAUGGACGGUGGGGAGUUGGGUAUGGGUGGGAGGAGGUCUUUCUUUACUCACUGGGGAGUCAGUCUGGCUUUCUUUCACCUUAAAACGGGAGUUCUCACUCCAGAGCACAGCCCAGUGGCAUUAAUAAUCUGUGAGGUCUCAGCAGCAGUGGACAGGAUAAUGAGAGGUGAUGGCUGCAGGUGGAAUCUGCAGGUUGGAUAUUAGGUAAAAAUGCCUUCCCUUGGUGGGUGGUGCAGCCCUGGCUUGGGUCACAGAGGUGUGGGAUUCUCAAGGCUUGGCCAAACAAAGCCACUUCUGACUGCCAACAGGACCAGAGACCUCCCAGGAGAUGGACUCUCUUUCCCUGCUUUAUUUCACAUCCCAGUCUGGCAGACUGUGCCAUUAUCUGUCCCACUGAGCUCAGGUGUAGCAUCCUCUGCAGAGAGCUCCUGUGGGCAGGCAGGCCUUGCUAAAAACACUGAGCCAUUUCUGUGCAACCAUUUUUGGGGGGAAGGCAACACCUCACAGUAUGAAGUGAAAUCCUGUUUGGCACCAGGCAGCACCAGAGGGGCACCAGGGAAAGCCUCUUAGCACCAGGGCUUGAUGAUCUUGGAGGUCUUUUCCAACCUUGGUGGCUCUGUGAUUCUAUGACUUUGUGAUUCUAUGACUCGAUGAUUCCAUGAUUCUGUGAUUCUGUGGCUCUGUGGUUCUAUGAUUCCAUGUUCAGGGAGGGUAUGAAGAAGCUGGAAUUUUCUUGGCAUGGCACUGAUCAGCCAGAGAAAGUGCCAGAGCCCCACUGCUCGGGAUACUGAAGUUAGACCGGACAAAGCAUCACCAGUGCUGAGGAAUGGCCAGUGG